CCUAACACAUGCAAGUCGAACGGUAACAGGAAACAGCUUGCUGUUUCGCUGACGAGUGGCGGACGGGUGAGUAAUGUCUGGGAAACUGCCUGAUGGAGGGGGAUAACUACUGGAAACGGUAGCUAAUACCGCAUAACGUCGCAAGACCAAAGAGGGGGACCCUCGGGCCUCUUGCCAUCGGAUGUGCCCAGAUGGGAUUAGCUUGUUGGUGGGGUAACGGCUCACCAAGGCGACGAUCCCUAGCUGGUCUGAGAGGAUGACCAGCCACACUGGAACCGAGACACGGUCCAGACUCCUACGGGAGGCAGCAGUGGGGAAUAUUGCACAAUGGGCGCAAGCCUGAUGCAGCCAUGCCGCGUGUAUGAAGAAGGCCUUCGGGUUGUAAAGUACUUUCAGCGGGGAGGAAGGGAGUAAAGUUAAUACCUUUGCUCAUUGACGUUACCCGCAGAAGAAGCACCGGCUAACUCCGUGCCAGCAGCCGCGGUAAUACGGAGGGUGCAAGCGUUAAUCGGAAUUACUGGGCGUAAAGCGCACGCAGGCGGUUUGUUAAGUCAGAUGUGAAAUCCCCGGGCUCAACCUGGGAACUGCAUCUGAUACUGGCAAGCUUGAGUCUCGUAGAGGGGGGUAGAAUUCCAGGUGUAGCGGUGAAAUGCGUAGAGAUCUGGAGG
rnacentral:rRNA from 1 species